AUCCAGCUGACGAGUUCCAAAUGGGACGAAACGCGCAUCCUAGAU
rnacentral:hammerhead_ribozyme from 1 species